rnacentral:RNase_P_RNA from 1 species
CGGGGAAAACGGGCGGUUGCAUUAGAAAUAAUGAGGAAAGUCCGGACACUACAGAACAGCACGCUUCGUAACGCGAAGGCAGUGAUAUUUGGACGAAUACUUCAAACAAGCUGACGGAAAGUGCAGCAGAAAACAAACCGCCAAUAUUUGUAUGUCUAUAUAAUCUAUAGAUAUACAAAACGGUAAGGGUGAAAUGGCGAGGUAAGAGCUCACCGCGUCUCGGGUGACCGAGACGGCAUUGCAAACCCCGUGCGGUGCAAGACUAAAUAAGAGUCAAGAGCAUUUCGGUGUUGAUGGGCUGUUCGUCCAUCUCGGCAAUAGCAAUAUCGCCACUUGGCUCGGGUAAGUCGCUAUAAGGAUUGCGGUGACGCAAUUCACAGAUAAAUUUCCGCCUCUUUGAUUCAUCAAAAAGACAGAAUCCGGCUUAUAGUUUUCUUCGCUUU